GCUAGUUUCCGUGGGGGUUGGCUUAAAUAGCCACAGAAGACUGUAGCAAGGCAGAGAACAGUCAUUCCACUCCAACUAAUCAAGGAUUCAAGCUCUGCAACAUGCUCUUCAAUGAAAAAGGGAAGAUCUGCAUUUACAGCUCCACCUACAUCUUCCCAGCAAUUAAAGCCUUCUCCUCCAGCAUUCAAGUCGAUUACACAUUCGAGAGGAGACCGGAGUUCAAGAAGCCAUUCCUCUACUUCAGCUUAAAAGCGUUUGAGGGCUUCUAAACUCCUCUUUUGAUUAUAUUGUUUUACAUCUGCUUUUGAGAAGCUUAUUUUCCUUUCUUUCUAUAACUUGUAUUUACUUGGUUCAAUCGGAGGAUUGAAUCAAGGGGACUAAGGUUGGUUGGUGAGCCAAGUUAAAAACCAACGUGUGUAAGGGUUUGAUUGUGAGCCCGAAAAAACAAUCGGGGUUGGUUCUAGUCGGUGAGCCUGGGAAAACCGACCGAGUUCGUUGUGAGCUCGUAAAACAACAAGUUUGGUUGUGAGCUUGCAAAACAACCGGCUGUAAUCCAAGGGGGUUAUAGUGAAUUCCCAAGAGAGACUUGGA
rnacentral:lncRNA from 1 species